AACCCAAACAACCGCACCACCCUCACUACUAACCCACCACCAGCCGCAGCGACAGUUCGUGUUUACCUGGCCGCCAUAUUGGCACCUCUGGAACACCCCGCCCGUUGAUUGGGCGCUGCCCCGCAGCCAAUCAGCCGGCGCUUUGCUGCCCUGCUCCCUGCCUCCAUGAGCUCCACGACAAUAGGGCACGGCGUGCAGUAGCGCGGCGCCAUGCGAUGCAGUGCAAUGCAACCUUGCUGCAGCCGCGACAGCUCCACAUUGGUCUCGUGUCCCCAGAUAUGCAAUUUAGGUGUGCUUCUCAGAAUAACAGCCGUGCUCUCAAGAGAAAGAUAGGUCGCUUUCCAGUAUUCAUAGUUGUGGUAGAGGAGCAUGGAAGGUAUUCAAAGCUAAACCUUCUAAUUUGUACAAGUCCCAAAUGUUUGGCAUGGGACAGUGACUAGGGCCUGCAACCUUACUCUUCAUGGAUGAGAAAAUCUUUUUAAAAUUCCCUAAAUUGUCUCAUAUUAAUGCAGUAAAUGUAAAGCCUCAAACGACCUUGUUCCAGCAAAGCUUGAAUUUCCCUUAAACUGCACCAAGAAUGUGAAAAAGGUGCCUGUCUGCCUGACAAAAAAAAUGUGAAAUGCCUGAAAAAGAUGUGAAAAAGUCACUGUGAGCAGAUUAACACCAUGUGAAGUGUCUCUGAGGCCAACAGUAACUCUCUGGAGAGCAUUCGGGAAAGUACAGAACUCAUUUGGAAGUUUCUCCUCUUUGUCCUUUCAGUGUACGUAGGUGAGACAUGAAACAAACGCUUAGUAGAGGCCUGUACGUGGUUUGGCAUGAAACCUCACAUGCAGGGGGUGACAGGAGAGGUGGAACAGAGAAAUAACAAGAAAAGGAUACCAUGAAGACGAAGAGACCUCUGGCACUGAAAUGUGUCUGAAAGAGAGGAGGGCUUGCAGCUGACCGGCUGCAAAGUAGAUCUCAGCCUUGUGCCCUCUGAGAAAGAAAUUGCUGGCACCAAGACACAGCCUACUUGUGGGAAGACGUACAGAUGUGAGGGGAGUGGGAAAGGGGCACGGAUUCCAGGAGGGAUAAAGGCAGACAGCAAGAACUUUGAGUAGGAUCACCUUGGAUCACCGAGAGUAGCAGCUGUGUAUCCAGACUCUCUGAAGGUCAGGUAGCUGUACGGUGGGUGAGCUGGCAGCUGAACUGUGCUACGCAGAUGACAUAAAUAAGAAGAUAAUUCCCAAUGACACCAACAAAAACUACUAGGGAGUAGCAGGGGAUGAUGAGUGGCUUGAAGGACUGAACAAACUGGAGCCCUGAGAAUAAAUUGCUGGCGUU